rnacentral:lncRNA from 1 species
UUUUACUUAACAUUAAGAGUAAGAAUAAUACUUCCGAUUUGAAAUCUGAGUUUUUUAUCACAGUUUUUUAUGAGAUUUUUAUUUUUAGCCAUUUAUUUUGAGGUUAUUCGUUCACUAGGUAAACGAAAUCAAAAAAUUAUAAAAUUUGGUUUAUAGAUAGUUCCAAUAGCGUAGAUCAUGUCUAACGAAAUCGAUCGCUGAAUCGGAUGUCCCAUCAUUAAAAACAACCUACAAGCACGGAGGUCUCCGUACUUUCGAAAAUAUAUACAGGAGUCUAGCACAAUGGCUCUGCUAUAUAUAUAUAUAAUAAGACUACUGCGCUAUUAGGAGCACAACAGUCUUUGUGCUCCUAAGUNAUAGAGAGAGAGAGAGAGAGAGAGAGAGAGAGAGAGAGAGAGAGAGAGAGUGUUCCGUAUUUUCGAAAGUACGUAUGCCUUCAUACUUAUAAGUUAUUUUCGAUAAUAGGACAUCCGAUUCGACGAUCGACUCCAUUAGACAUAAUCUAUGCUAUUGAAAUUAUUUAGACAUCAAAUCUCAUAAUUUUUCGACAUCAUUUAUCAAGCAAUCACAGAGUCUCCAAAAUGGCUAUUUUAACGGCCGAUGUGGCGCAUUUUUUGUUCAACUGUGUAGAAAUAUCUAAAUUAUAUAAAAAUUUAAUAAAAAAUUUUACUUAACAUCAAGAGUAAGAAUAAUACUUCCGAUUUGAAAUUUGAGUCCUUUAUCACAGUUUUUUAUGAGAUUUUUAUUUUUAGCCAUUUAUUUUGAGGUUAUUCGUUCACUAGGUAAACGAAAUCAAAAAAUUAUGAAAUUUGGUUUAUAGAUAGUUCCAAUAGCGUAAUCAUGUCUAACGAAAUCGAUCGCUGAAUCGGAUGUCCCAUCAUUAAAAACAACCUACAAGCACGGAGGUCUCCGUACUUUCGAAAAUAUAUACAGGAGUCUAG